UACGUAGGGUGCAAGCGUUGUCCGGAAUUAUUGGGCGUAAAGAGCUCGUAGGUGGUUUGUCACGUUGUUCGUGAAAACCCACAGCUCAACUGUGGGCGUGCGAGCGAUACGGGCAGACUAGAGUACUGCAGGGGAGACUGGAAUUCCUGGUGUAGCGGUGGAAUGCGCAGAUAUCAGGAGGAACACCGGUGGCGAAGGCGGGUCUCUGGGCAGUAACUGACGUGAGGAGCGAAAAGCCGUGGGGGAGCGAACAGG
rnacentral:rRNA from 1 species